GAAUGGGCCAUUAAGCUACGGCGUUUUAAUGGGUCCGACCCAAUUGCAGGACACAGCUGAAUUGAAAGCUCAAAGCUCCCGCCCCGGUGUCUUUUGAUCUUUCCCGUAUAGCAACGCGAGUAGACAGACACUUUUACAAAACUCGGGAGUUGCGUUUUAGGAGAAGAAACAGAGAAAGAGAAAAAGAUGGAGAGCGUUUUUGGAAUGGUGGUGAUGGAUUCACAGUAUUGGCUGCCGACACAUCGCCGGUUCAAAAACCCAACGAGAACAAGGUCAUGGUCCUCGAUUCCCGCAAGCUCUUGGCCGCCAGCGGCGAGAGCGGUGACAGGGGCAGUUCACGGAAUAUAUACAGAAGAAUGUAGCCUUGUAUCAAUUCCGUAAUGGAAUUCCGUCGACCACUGCCGCUGCUGCCAAUUUUACUGGGGGAGAAGUUGCCACUGCUUUGCGCGAGGUGUCAGGUCCAGGGGACUAUCAGAUUGUGGUGCUGAACCUCUGCUGAAGCUCUGGAAGCUGACAAGAAAAAUGACAUUUUUUCAAGAAAAAAAAUUCCAGGUCUCACGGUGUUGCUCAAACUGCAAAGUUGGUUUGGUUAAUCAAAAUACUGAUGCAGAUUACAUCCAGGACUAAGGAGAUGCGGCUGUAGGUGGAACAGUAGGUGGAAGAAGAAACGGAACAGGGCUUGGCAAAAAGGUUAUUAACAUUUUUUGUUGGAUUAGACGGUUAGUCAAUGUUAAUGCAAAUUGGUUGUUAACUGAAGAAUGUAUGUUUGAUUAGUAUGACAAAAAUUCCCCGGUUAUACACUUUCCACAAUACUGUUAAAACUUCAGUGACAUGGUUCACAAAGUUGUGAACUUCAAAACCGGCUUCAAAACUGUCUGUUUUCUUCCCCUUCAAAUUGCUUGAAACCCUCUUAAACUGUAAAUCCUUCCUUUCCGUAGCUUAAUAGACCCAACAAGAACUUUACACUCAUUUUAUUACUCCACACUCUUUCCAUUUCACUCACAAGCUGGAGAUCAUUGAGGCUGUGCAGCCUUUUGAUUCAGAACUUAAACCAAUUUCCACAAGUAAAUUUUUUUUUAAAUGAUGAAAUCACAAGCAGUUCCAGAUAGGUAGUUUGGCAUGUUGGUUGUAACUCUGCAUUUGCCAUUUUUUUUCCUGUUUAAUUAUAGUAACAUAUAACUUGGUUGAUUUUAGCUGACGUGGCUUUGUUUUUUUCUCGGUUGAAGGAGUGCAACCAGCAUCUUCUGAAUAACAUACAAAACAAGGGUAGGCUUGUUAUCAAUACCAAUUGUCAAGUAGUCCAAUAUUUUAAGCAGUCUAUGGUCAAGGGAUUGAUGUGUAUCAUAAACAUUAUUUUUCACGGAAACAGCAUCUCGAGGGGUACUUUCACAGUGUUGCCCGGAAACCAGGCUUUUUGGCUAAAAAUCAAACCUUUUUUGUGCCAUUUGGCAUUGACUUGUGAUGAAACGGGCCAAAAGCCUGUCCACAUUACAAUCCCAAACGGGACCUUAGUUCUUUACCUACGGCACCGAACGGCUUUUUGAGAAAUUUGACAAGUGAAAUUUUGAAUUGUUAACUUUAAAAUAGACCUGUAAUUGUAUCACUUAAUCUUUUGUGCUAUGUUUGUAGCUGACCGCUUCUUUAACUUGUGUUUGUUGUCUUCGUUGUAUUUUGUUUAGAGAUGAAUUCCUGUAAAUGAGGGGUUUUUUUAAUAAUAUUUGUAUAGGCAGUAUGAUUGUUUAUCUAUAUACAUAUUUCUUUAUUCAGAAAAAAAUAAUUUAUAAUUUAAUCCAAAGGCAAAUGUCUGAAUAUUAGCUGUUUAGUUAUUGAACAACCCUCAAGUUUAAUAAGAGUUGGUCAUCCAAAUAUACCAAUCUAUUUGUCACUUUUUUCAAAGACUUUACUAUAUAGCUUCAGUCGUCUUGUUUUCCUUUUCACUCAAAUCCUCAGGUCUCCAAAUCCAAUCAAACAAUUUGACUUCCACAAGCUCCAUCUCUCUUCAAUUUUCAAACAUUCUAGGCAAACAAAAGUUCUAACAAGAGGAAAUGGUUUCAAGAGCGCUUGAGAUGGAUCUAAUCUAUUAGAGAGAUAAACUACAUUUAGAGUUAAUGGGAGUAUACCAAAUAACUCAUACAUAUAUAUUGGACAUCAUUAGAGUCCAAAAGCUUAAACUAUUAAAAUUUUGGGUCCUUCAUGCAUAUAGAGGAUAUCUCAUUCAGAUUUUCUAAUGGUGUGGGAUUCUUUACUUACAUUUGAAUCAUAUUCCAACAAUCUUUCCCGUUCACUUGUGAAUUUUGAUCAAGUCUUAUUUCGGCUUUCUCGUGCGAGUAAGUUCUAUCAAUAUUUUUUUUAAAUUAGGCAACCUUACAUCUUUUAGUGUGCUUUUUGAGCCAGACCACAGUACUCAACCUUGCCACUUAGAUUAUUUUAGUG